AGCAACCUCUUCAGUCUACAAUGUGAAGUGAAAAACAAAGGAAAGGAUUAGUUUGGUGUUUUAUUGAUUUUAAAGUCAGUAACAAUGUAGUUGUGUUUGCCAUUGUGUCAUGAAAAUAUGUAUAAUUUUAAUUCCAGGAUGCAAUGUUCGAUCUCAGUUAAUGUUUCAAUGGCAGCAAGUGAAAAUCCUGAAUCUAUUCAGACAUUUUGAGUGUCAAAGUGUGCUCUCUUUAUGGAAAUUAUUAUUUCCAGCAGAAAUCUCCAAGAUACAAACCCAAGACAUAAGUUUUCAUGAAACACUUUCAACUAUCAUUCACAGAAAUCCAGUAACUGACCAUUUAACCACACAAAAUAUUAUGUUUUGGCUACGAAGUCUAACAACUGAAACCGUUUCUAUCUCUCUGAGAGCAAACAGAAGGUGACAGAACACUUGAUCUUGUUAGACAGUGUAAGAUAAAGGAAAAAUCAUACAUGGUAAAACUGUGCAAUGCAGAACAAGUAAAAAGGACAGAAAUCUAAACUACAACACUUAUGCAAUUUUCAUCCGUGUUGUUGGCAUAGAGACUAAGAACACAAACUGCUAGUGAAAGUUUAACCAACACCCCCUCACCAAGUGGUCCUCUUUUCUCUUAGCCUCUUUCUAUGCUGCUCAUGCCCAUUCUCGUCUCCAGCUCGGACAAAAUGCAUGCAAAGCAGAUUCAAUGCAAAGUUGCAUCCUCUCCUUUUACACACCCAGGGAAAUGCUAAUACAAUAUUCAGCCAGAACAUUUUUGCAAUGCAAAAAGAAAAAAACAAAUUAAUAUUCGCACCAGCACAACAUGGAAGAGCCUCACUACUGUGAACACACAACAUUUCAGAAACUUUACAACAAAACCCAUUUAAAACUUACCCACUAUGGAUGCUCUUGUCACAUAAACACUUUGGGGAUCAUAGAAAAAAUCCAGUGAAAAUGCUAAAGAAGUAGCCUCCUUUUCUAUAGAUCCUCCACAGUCACAUUCCAAGAACGUUAUCAGGACAAUGAAAGGUGAAUAAAUACAGCAGAGCAGGACCAGGACCUCUCGUGAGUGAUGUCACCUCAUCCAUAUAAGGCAGUGAUGUGUGUACGAGAGUGUCUGUGCUGCUCUGCUGUGGACACUGUGAAAAGGGUGGGACCUUUGCCACGGGAGGAGUGUUUUGCAAAGCUCCCCCCAGUUUUCAUGCUAUUACAAAACAUUACAUGUUUGAUAGAAAAUAUAUACACUAUUGCAAAACUAUAGGUGCUUCUUUUCAGAAAAUGUACGGCGAUGGUACAAAGAGUGAAGAAGUAUUAACAUAUUUCAAGGGUCAGUGCAAUUGUGGUGCAAAUGAAACCAUACCAUCUCCAUUUUCUAAAGUGCACAGGAUAUUGCCUCUGCAGAGCAAAAGCAAUAAUCUUGCUGGUACAGGAGACAAGAGAGAAUGUCUGCUGUAGUUCCACUCGAGGGAGAAACUGGAUUAGAACUGGGAUGCCUGAAAAGUCUACAUGCGAUGAGGAAACCAGAUAUGGUUCCCUUGAGAUGAAGAAGUUCUGGGAGGAUACGUAUCCAUGACAAUGGGUUUAUGAAGUGCUAUGCUCUUGACCUUUGCAUUUAAACUGUAUAGAUAAUAGGGCAAUCUUUUAACAAACAGCAUUUUUCAUAACCCAAAUGAUUCCCUGCGAGUCAAAUUCAAUUUGAAACUCUACAUGUUAAUUCUCAGUUUGUAAAUGACAGUAAACAUCUAGUACACUGAUUUAUAUUACCAGCAGCCUUCAUUGCCAAGUGGAAUUAGUGGGUCUGGCUACUGUACAAAGGAGCCAUCCAGAUCUCAGAGUGCAGCUCUUAAAAUUCAUACUUACACAGUCAGAUGUCAGUGAUAGCCUAGAAAUUGGCACUCUAAAAUUACUUUCAUGCAAAGGUCAAAGUCAUGAUGUCAGUUGUAAUUGGCUCCAGUGGUCCAGUCAUGCAGGAACCACAGUUUAGCAAGCCUGUGCUAUGUUACCAAGGAGGAAAUAAUUAGCAACAAAUUGGCUGUGAACAGUUUGUUCAGUCCAAAGUGGCAAAAAGCGAUGAAUCUUAAUGCUCAACCACAACUUAAAAAGCACUCCUGAUAAAGCAAUGCAGAAAAACAGGAAAGGGAUCUUGCCUCUGCGUGGCUCUCUGCUUAGCUUUAACAUUCUGUGUGCAUUAGGUUUAAGAAAGUUGUUUGAAGGAGGGCUCCAGCUUCUCAGUGUUUGCGAAAGAAACAAGCUUCUUGAGCAAAUACACAGGUGCGAUCCUCUGUGAGAGAACUUUUUUUUCAUCGGAUCCCAUGUUUCCUAGGGAAUUUUGCUCAGAGGCACUGUAGCCCCCCUGCCCCCAUGUCAGGAUGGGGGGGGAUUGAAGCAGCCACAAACUGCCAAAAAGCUGUCAAAAUACUGUUGUACAGUAAUGACCUCUCUUGACAGAGGAAAAGCAUAUUGUGUUAAGCAAGAGAGAGUCAGUGAUGGUGUACAGUACAUAAGACUGAUGUGGUGUUAAAAGAGAGAAAUCAGAACUUUACAGACAACCAUAAUAGGUUCACAUAUACUGUAUGUACAGAAUCUGAUGGCAGGUGGUUCAAUAAUGUGGAGUCUGAGGGAAGGCUUUACAAUGACAAGAAAACAACCAUUUUUGUUUCCAGUUUCAGGUCUGGAUUUUCAUUCCAUGUGCGUGACUUCGCACCCUUUGAAAACUCCCGAGGAACGGGAGCUUUUUCUCCCAUGAGUCAUUACCACCAUGUCGCUGAAAUAUCUGAACUUCUUGACAUAUAAAUUGCUCCGUUCUUUGAGAAGGCGUUAAUGGCUGAUAGCUACCAGUCAGAAACUGCUUCCCUUCUGCCCACCCUCUGCAUUCCUGCAGGUGUUUGGCACAAGACCUUUGGCUUCUCUCUCUUCACUCUCACCCGGAUGGCUGGAGGCAAUCGUAUUGAUAAAGACAAGAUGAUGACACACUUCCAUUUCGCCUGAAAGGGUGGAUGUCAAAAGACGGCGUUACCGGACAUGGCAGACAUGUGCACGCUUCUGUGUAGGUGUUAUUGUGUUUGUGCAAAGAAGGUAAUGUUGUCAUGCAGUUUAGAAUCUUUUUUUCGUAAUCUUCUCAAUUCAUCCAUGGUUUGGAUACUUAUUUUCUCUCACCCACUUUUCAUGACUCUAAGUAUUAGUUUUGUGUCCUUCUAUGGAGACAGAUCUGGGCAGUGCAGGUGGUGACAAAUCAAGACCUCGCAGAGCUCAUCCCCUCCAUGUUUUCUUCGAGGUGACAGAGGCCGACCUGUGCAGGAGCCAAGGAACCCGCUGGAAACUACCUGGCAUAAGAAGGAGGUCAUUGCUUUCUUGCAUGCAAACCAAGGAUCAAGUAAAAGCGAAAUCUGCUUUUGGAUUCAAGUUCAGCAGAAUGUCAGUCAAACAAAGUCCUCAGCAGUCGCACAACACUGUACGCUAUUCAGCCUUACAAAACCCCAAACAGUCUAUAAUACUCAGCUGAAGUCUGCUGCUUCUUUCCCAGCCCUCCCCACAGUGUGUGAUGGCAGUUCAGCUGUCAUUACGGUGAUUUAGCUUCCAUGGUCUGUUUCCUGUGUCCUGUAGUAAAAGCCCGGGGAAGAGAGGGAUCCAGUGCUUCUGCCGGGUCAGUGCUGCUCAGAAUGAACCGUUUGAAGUUCUGACAGUUCAUGAAAUGCAGCACAUGCGUGGUCUAGUCUGCUCCACAGAUGACUGACUAUAUGUGUACAUAUUAUACAGUAGCUUACAGAUGUCUCCUGCAUAAAUGUUGUAAUGCCUCUUGGCUAACUGUGUAUGCUAAUAAGCGUAGCAAACCACAUAUUGGCUUAGAUGUACAAUUCAAAAUUAAUUGCUACAACCCCCCCCCCAAGCUCUCAGGAUUAUUGUGUGAGAGUGAACAGCGAUGCGUUAUGGGAAUUGCUACAAAACACAUUCCCUAACAAGCAACAGCCAAUUAAAGUGUUGCAUCUAAUAGUACGUUAAUUAGUAUGGUGCCCUCCUUUCUCAUACACAUUCACUGCACAUCCACGCCGUCACAACCAGGCUCGUUUGAUCUCCGUGAGGCCCCUACACACACACGUGAUGUAACCAUCCCCCCACCUCAGAUGUUGGACCCCCUCUUUCUCCCCUCACUCAUCCUCUCGUCCCUCGUCUCCUCCUGACCAACAAGCCCGGGUCGCAACCCCAUCCAUGACUUCAUUUCACAGAUGAUGUCAUGGGAGAUUCGCUCUCCUCAAAGCCCUUUAUUCCUUCGCUUGUUCCUCCCCUCCUCUUCCCCCACCAACUGGCCCCUCACCUCUUUCCCACAGCGAGGAGCCUGACCCCUUCCUCACCUACACGCUCCACUCUCCACCGCCAUCCUCUCCGUCAAACAAAGGUAUGUGAGGUUAUCACUUUAGUAACCAGCUCCUCCCUCUCCUCUCCUCUUCUCAUCUCUCUGCGGUGGUUCACUUGGCUGAUGAGGCCACCUUUCACACAUUCUCUGAUGUUGAUUUGUCUGAGGUCUUGCUCACUUCUUGCACAAAACAUGUCCACACUGGUUCUGCUAUAUGUAACGUCCACUUUUCCCAGUAUUCAUGUGUUUGCUGUCUACUCUAUGUGUUCGCUUCUCCCUCCUCUCUCUCGCCACUCUUUUCCUCCGCAUGUCUUUCACCUGUUUCCCUUUUCCCCACGACUCCACCCCCUGUUCAAGUUAUACUGACACUGCAUGUUGUCUUAUGAUACAACUUAUACAGCAUUCAAAUGUAACUAAAUACAUUUACUCAAGUACUGUACUUAAGUACAAUUUUGACUUACCUGUGUUUCCUUUUUUGGCUGCUUUAUACUUCCAUUCAAGCAAUUUUGGAGGCAAAUAUUGUACUUUUUAUUGCACUACAGUUAUUCAAUAACUUUAGUUACCUUGCAAAUUACAUGUUGCAAGUGGAAUUAUUCUUUGACAGAAAUGUCAUGUGUUUAGAAUUUAAUCUGAUGCAAGGACUUUGCCCUCUCGUCUCAGUGGUGUGGCAAUUCCAUGCUCCUCUCCUC